rnacentral:rRNA from 1 species
AUUGAACGCUGGCGGAAUGCUUUACACAUGCAAGUCGAACGGCAGCACGGACUUCGGUCUGGUGGCGAGUGGCGAACGGGUGAGUAACAUAUCGGAACGUAUCCAAUAAUGGGGGAUAACUAGCCGAAAGGUUAGCUAAUACCGCAUACGCACUACGGGGGAAAGCAGGGGAUCUUCGGACCUUGCGUUAAUGGAGCGGCCGAAAUCUGAUUAGCUAGUUGGUGAGGUAAAAGCUCACCAAGGCGACGAUCAGUAGCUGGUCUGAGAGGACGACCAGCCACACUGGAACUGAGACACGGUCCAGACUCCUACGGGAGGCAGCAGUGGGGAAUUUUGGACAAUGGGCGCAAGCCUGAUCCAGCCAUUCCGCGUGAGUGAAGAAGGCCUUCGGGUUGUAAAGCUCUUUCGCAAGGGAAGAAAACUUACCUUCUAAUAAAGGGUGAGGUUGACGGUACCUUGAUAAGAAGCACCGGCUAACUUCGUGCCAGCCGCCGCUGUAACAC